CCCUUAGAUGUUCUGGGCUGCACGCGCGCUACACUGCCGCACGCAACAGGUGCCUGCUCCGAGAGGACUGGGUAAUCAUUUGAGUGUGCGUCGUGAUGGGGAUAGAAUAUUGUAAUUAUUACUCUUCAACGAGGAAUUCCUAGUAAGCGCCAGUCAGCAGCUUGCGCUGAUUACGUCCCUGCCCUUUGUACACACCGCCCGUCGCUCCUACCGAUGGGUGAUCCGGUGAAUGAUUCGGACUUCAGCGGCUCCCCUGGGGUGCGCCGGAGAAAGUUUUGUGAACCUUAUCACUUGGAGGAAGGAGAAGUCGUAACA
rnacentral:rRNA from 1 species